rnacentral:misc_RNA from 1 species
GAGAUGCCGAUGAAAAAGAAUGUUCGGUCUGCCAUAGCUUUCAGCGAGCGGGGAAUUGGUGCAAGCCCUGUCGAUUGGCUACCGAGUGACGCUUUGGAGGCAGGGUCAUGACCCCGUCGAAGCUACGUUACCCAAGAGUAAACCCAAGGUGGUACCGUGCAUUCAAGCACCCUUGCA